rnacentral:rRNA from 1 species
UACGGAGGGUGCAAGCGUUAUCCGGAUUCACUGGGUUUAAAGGGUGCGUAGGUGGGCAGGUAAGUCAGUGGCGAAAUCUCUGGGCUUAACCCAGAAACUGCCGUUGAUACUAUCUGUCUUGAAUAUAGUGGAGGUGAGCGGAAUAUGUCAUGUAGCGGUGGAAUGCUUAGAUAUGACAUAGAACACCCAUUGCGAAGGCAGCUCGCUACACUAUCAUUGACACUGAGGCACGAAAGCGUGGGGAUCAAACAGG